GCUCUAACCUGGCCUGCCUGGCUCUAACCUGGCCUGCCUGGCUCUAACCUGGCCUGCCUGGCUCUAACCUGGCCUGCCUGGGUCUAACCUGGCCUGCCGGGGUCUAACCAACACAUGGAACUCAUAAUAAAAGUGAUUCCCAAAUGGCCCUAUAUAGAGCACUACUUUAGAUCAGAGUCCUAUGGGUAGUGCACUAUAAAGAGAUAGGGUGGCGUUUGGUACGGCCCCAUAAUGCAGCCGUCUGUUCACUUCCUGGUGAUAUUGCAGCAGAACCAACAGGUUGUCAUGGUGACGUCACAGGGUUAGGAUCACUGGGUUUAUUAUCAUUCAGGGCCCGUAUCACAGUGGGACUGCUGAUCAGAGGUCAUAAUGAAUCGGAUUAUAUGGCCUGAUCCUAGAUGAGCAGUCCUACUGGGAGAUGCUUUGUGGAUCCAGGCCAGGUCAUGAUGAAACACUGUCAGAGGGCAUGUGAUGGGCUGGAGUUAGACUAAAUGCCCACAUCCCAUCUCAACGACGCUUCAACACAAUUCAUAAUCAAUAAUCAGUACAAUCAAUCCGAUGUCAUGAAUAUGAUGCAAUACGAUUCCAAAUAAACUGAUAGCUAAGAAUUCCAAACUGAAUCCAAGUCCGUCACAUCUUGUGUUCUCCCCAUUAAAGCCUGUACAACAUUCUACAGUUUUAACUUAAAAACUAAUUCUGCAAGCUUUGACACACCAACAGCCAGUGAGACAUUCCAGAGUAUUGAUAAAUGCAGUUAGUCUUUCAGGUGGAGAGCAGGGUCAGGUGGGGACAGUGGAGUCCUUUUUGGGGUAAGACAGGUAAGGGAGAGUGGGGUCUGUUAGUCCUCUCAGGGUAGGUAAGGGAGAGUGGGGUCUGAUGGCCAACAGGGUAGGUAGGGGAGAGUGGGGUCUGUUGGUCCUCUCAGGGUAGGUAGGGGAGAGUGGGGUCUGAUGGCCAACAGGGUAGGUAGGGGAGAGUGGGGUCUGUUGGUCCUCUCAGGGUAGGUAAGGGAGAGUGGGGUCUGAUGGCCAACAGGGUAGGUAGGGAGAGUGGGGUCUGUUGGUCCUCUCAGGGUAGGUAGGGGAGAGUGGGGUCUGAUGGUCCUCUCAGGGUAGGUAGGGGAGAGUGGGGUCUGAUGGCCAACAGGGUAGGUAAGGGAGAGUGGGGUCUGUUAGUCCUCUCAGGGUAGGUAGGGGAGAGUGGGGUCUGUUAGUCCUCUCAGGGUAGGUAGGGGAGAGUGGGGUCUGUUAGUCCUCUCAGGGUAGGUAAGGGAGAGUGGGGUCUGUUAGUCCUCUCAGGGUAGGUAGGGGAGAGUGGGGUCUGAUGGUCCUCUCAGGGUAGGUAGGGGAGAGUGGGGUCUGUUAGUCCUCUCAGGGUAGGUAAGGGAGAGUGGGGUCUGAUGGCCAACAGGGUAGGUAAGGGAGAGUGGGGUCUGUUGGUCCUCUCAGGGUAGGUAGGGGAGAGUGGGGUCUGAUGGUCCUCUCAGGGUAGGUAGGGGAGAGUGGGGUCUGUUGGUCCUCUCAGGGUA